rnacentral:rRNA from 1 species
ACUUACGGCCAUACCACACCUGUUCUCAUCUGAUCUCUGAAGCUAAGCAGGGGCGGUCCUGCAUAGUUGCGUCACCUUCACCUUGCUCCAGGUU